GGGGGGGGGGGGGGGGGGGGGGGGGGGGGGGGGGGGGGGGGGGGGGGGCCGGCGGGGGGGGGGGGCGCGGGGGGCGGGCGGGGGGGUGACACGGGGGGAGCCGGCCCUGGCCUUUGGGAUACCUUCGGGGAACGGGGGCUACUCCCGGCUAGGAGCGCCUGCUGCCUGGUGGGGGUGGGACAGGUUCGGCGGUUGGGGAUGGACUCGCGGCUUCUCCGCUUGUUGGUGGGGGAGUGGCUUACCAAGGCUUUGCCGGGUAGCCGGCCUGAGAGGGUGACCGGCCACAUGGGGACUGAGAUACGGCCCAGACUCCGACGGGAGGCAGCAGUGGGGAAUAUUGCACAAUGGGCGGAAGCCUGAUGCAGCAACGCCGCGUGCGGGAUGACGGCCUUCGGGUUGUAAACCGCUUUCGCCUGGGACGAAGCGUGAGUGACGGUAAUGGGUAAAGAAGCACCGGCUAACUACGUG
rnacentral:rRNA from 1 species